rnacentral:rRNA from 1 species
GACGAACCGUGCGAACGUUGUUCGGAAUCACUGGGCUUAAAGGGCGCGUAGGCGGGCUGCCAAGUCUGGGGUGAAAUCCUCCGGCUCAACCGGAGAACGGCCUCGGAUACUGGCGGUCUCGAGGGAGGUAGGGGCGUGCGGAACUUCGGGUGGAGCGGUGAAAUGCGUAGAUAUCCGAAGGAACACCGGUGGCGAAAGCGGCGCGCUGGAUCUCUUCUGACGCUGAGGCGCGAAAGCCAGGGGAGCAAACGGGG